rnacentral:rRNA from 1 species
AUUGAACGCUGGCGGCAUGCCUUACACAUGCAAGUCGAACGGCAGCACGGGAGCAAUCCUGGUGGCGAGUGGCGAACGGGUGAGUAAAGUAUCGGAACGUGCCCAGUCGUGGGGGAUAACGUAGCGAAAGUUACGCUAAUACCGCAUACGGUCUAUGGAUGAAAGCGGGGGAUCGCAAGACCUCGCGCGAUUGGAGCGGCCGAUAUCAGAUUAGGUAGUUGGUGGGGUAAAGGCUCACCAAGCCGACGAUCUGUAGCUGGUCUGAGAGGACGACCAGCCACACUGGGACUGAGACACGGCCCAGACUCCUACGGGAGGCAGCAGUGGGGAAUUUUGGACAAUGGGCGAAAGCCUGAUCCAGCCAUGCCGCGUGCAGGAUGAAGGCCUUCGGGUUGUAAACUGCUUUUGUACGGAACGAAAAGGCUCUGGUUAAUACCCGGGGCUCAUGACGGUACUGUAAGAAUAAGCACCGGCUAACUACGUGCCAGCCGCCGCCGUAA